UAAAGGUUUGAGUGUGAGCAUUUAUGUUGGGACCCGAAAGAUGGUGAACUAUGCCUGAAUAGGGCGAAGCCAGGGGAAACUCUGGUGGAGGCUCGUAGCGAUUCUGACGUGCAAAUCGAUCGUCAAAUUUGGGUAUAGGGGCGAAAGACUAAUCGAACCAUCUAGUAGCUGGUUCCCUCCGAAAUUUCCCUUAGGAUAGCUGCAACCGGUUAAGAGUUUUAUCAGGUAAAGCGAAUGAUUAGAGGCCUUGGGCGCGAAAC
rnacentral:rRNA from 1 species